rnacentral:ncRNA from 2 species
CGAAGAAAUAGAGGUUGCGGAAUCUAUGAUGGUCCUGGAGCAUGCGGAUGCGCUGAAGGGACCGGGGGAGAUGCCGCCGAAAUGGAUGAUGGGCCGCACCGUUAUCUGUUGGGGCCGUUGGGGAAUACCCGCGGAACUGUCUUGGCCGCCAAGUCACUUGGCCCCAAGGAGCGCUAUUCUGGUU